UGUCCCGUGGUGUAAUGGUAACACAGAUGAUUCUGGUUCAUUUAUUCAGGGUUCGAAUCCUUGCGGGAUAACUA
rnacentral:tRNA from 1 species